rnacentral:rRNA from 1 species
AAUCUCAAAAAGCCGGUCUCAGUUCGGAUUGGGGUCUGCAACUCGACCCCAUGAAGUCGGAGUCGCUAGUAAUCGCAGAUCAGCAUUGCUGCGGUGAAUACGUUCCCGGGCCUUGUACACACCGCCCGUCACGUCACGAAAGUCGGUAACACCCGAAGCCGGUGGCCCAACCCCUUGGGGAGGGAGCUGUCGAAGGUGGGACUGGCGAUUGGGACGAAGUCGUAACAAGGUAGCCGUACCGGAAGGUGCGGCUGGAUCACCUCCUUUCUAAGGAG